rnacentral:tRNA from 1 species
GGGGGUGUAGCUCAACCGGGAGAGUGCCUGCCUUGCACGCAGGAGGUCAGCGGUUCGAUCCCGCUCACCUCCACCA